rnacentral:lncRNA from 1 species
UAGUUAGGACACUGUUUCUGGGAAAUCCCAUCUAAGGCCAAGAAUAGGCCUGUAUUUGUGGACUGGCUCUCCUGGAGGCAGGAGGACCACACACAGCUAUGAUCCUGCCGAAGGAGUCAUGUAAAUGUGUGUGCCUUGGGCAGCUGUCAGGCUGUCCUGGGCUGGUCUCCCUUCUCCAAGGAGGACUUCAGGAGGAAGAUAUCUAUUUGUUGCUCCAUUCAAAAGACACUCAGCAGACCUCAUUGACUUAACACUUUGGCAGCAUUUGACACUCCCGACCUUGUCUCCUUCCCUGAAUGCUCUGGCUUAGACUCUACAGAAAGCACCAUUUGUGAGCUGAUCAGUGAGAAAACUGUUAAUGGUUUGCAGAGAUGAUCACAUGAACUUGAAAUAAUAACCAUUUUUGACAGUCUGGCCAAAUGGUUUCUAUCUUCUAAAUUUAAUAGUAAAUAUUGGCUUCUAUUUUAAAUACAAUUCUAGAUAAUUAAAUAAUUUUAUUGCAUUUUAUGCCUUAAGUAUUAAUUCGUAUGUUACAAACUGGGGGUUUGGUCUUGCUCUUCAGAUAGAAGAAGAAGCCUUUUUGUCAUCCAUUAUCUUUGCUGACACUGGGUCUCAUGCUCUCACAACUACCUUGCCAUUUCCCAAUAUUUGCAUGUUGUUUUGUCUUAGAUUCAAACUCUUGGAUGUUUAGAACUCAGGGGAGUAGCCCCAGCCUUCAGGAAGCAUCUUUUUUGUACUGUUCUCACAACAGUCUGUGCCAGACCUCAUCACAUCCAUAAAACAUCACUGUUUCCAGUCCCUAGUCCAGGGUAUGACACCCAGAGGGAACUCCAUCAUCCUUCCUCGUGUGAAUGUGUUACAUUUGAGGUGGUCAUGGAGUCACAUUCUGUAGCACUGAAAUCACCAAGGAAUUUUCUUCCUACUUCCUUUCUCUGUUUUAUGUGCCUAGGCUCAUUCUUGCAAUAGACAUUCUGACUGUGAAAAAUUAACUGUCAAUUAAGAAUGGGCCAAUCUCCUCUGUGCUCUAGAACAAAGUAUGAAGGCCUUGGACUAUAAAGUAUCCUAUGUGGUGGAUAACUUCCUUUUCCUGGGGAAGGGGUAGUUACAGUGGAGUUUUCCAAGCAUAAAACUCAUUCUGAAGGGUUCACUACAUCCGUGGAAACUGGCAGCUCCUGUUGGGACUGCAGCACCCU